UACCAGACUCCUACGGGAGGCAGCAGUGAGGAAUAUUGGUCAAUGGGCGGGAGCCUGAACCAGCCAUGCCGCGUGAAGGCGAGUGCCCUACGGGCGUUAAACUUCUUUUGUGCGGGAGCAAUAAGGGCCACGUGUGGCCCGAUGAGAGUACCGCACGAAAAAGCAUCGGCUAACUCCGUGCCAGCAGCCGCGGUAAUACGGAGGAUGCGAGCGUUAUCCGGAUUUAUUGGGUUUAAAGGGUGCGUAGGCGGGUUAUCAAGUCAGCGGUAAAAUCGUGGAGCUCAACUCCAUCCAGCCGUUGAAACUGGCUGUCUUGAGAUGUCGAGAGGUAUGCGGAAUGCGCAGUGUAGCGGUGAAAUGCUUAGAUAUUGCGCAGAACUCCGAUUGCGAAGGCAGCAUACCGGCGGCGAUCUGACGCUGAGGCACGAAAGCGUGGGUAUCGAACAGGAUUAGAUACCCGAGUAA
rnacentral:rRNA from 1 species